rnacentral:lncRNA from 1 species
AACACAAGCAUUAUGUAUUACUGUACUGUUGGAGCUAGAAACACAAGCAUUAUAUAUUACUGUACUGUUGGAGCUAUAAACACAAGCAUUAGGUAUUACUGUACUGUUGGAGCUAUAAACACAAGCAUUAGGUAUUACUGUACUGUUGGAGCUAGAAACACAAGCAUUAGGUAUUACUGUACUGUUGGAGCUAUAAACACAAGCAUUAUAUAUUACUGUACUGUUGGAGCUAUAAACACAAGCAUUAUAUAUUACUGUACUGUUGGAGCUAUAAACACAAGCAUUAGAUAUUACUGUACUGUUGGAGCUAUAAACACAAGCAUUAAGUAUUACUGUACUGUUGGAGCUAUAAACACAAGCAUUAUAUAUUACUGUACUGUUGGAGCUAUAAACACAAGCAUUAAGUAUUACUGUACUGUUGGAGCUAUAAACACAAGCAUUAUAUAUUACUGUACUGUUGGAGCUAUAAACACAAGCAUUAUAUAUUACUGUACUGUUGGAGCUAUAAACACAAGCAUUAUAUAUUACUGUACUGUUGGAGCUAGGACCAGCUUGCUUAGGGGAUAUUUUAGCAGUUCUGCAUUUUAUGAGUUCUGCAUGCAGUCUCUCUCUGUGUCUCACUCUCUCUCUCUCUCUCUC